rnacentral:tRNA from 1 species
GGGAAGGUGGCUCAAUGGUAGAGUGCUUGCUUUGCAUGCAUGAGGCCCUGGGUUCGAUUCCUCAGCGCCA